rnacentral:rRNA from 1 species
UGGGGAAUAUUGCACAAUGGGCGCAAGCCUGAUGCAGCCAUGCCGCGUGUGUGAAGAAGGCCUUCGGGUUGUAAAGCACUUUCAGCGAGGAGGAAGGUGGUGAACUUAAUACGUUCAUCAAUUGACGUUACUCGCAGAAGAAGCACCGGCUAACUCCGUGCCAGCAGCCGCGGUAAUACGGAGGGUGCAAGCGUUAAUCGGAAUUACUGGGCGUAAAGCGCACGCAGGCGGUUUGUUAAGUCAGAUGUGAAAUCCCCGGGCUCAACCUGGGAACUGCAUUUGAAACUGGCAAGCUAGAGUCUCGUAGAGGGGGGUAGAAUUCCAGGUGUAGCGGUGAAAUGCGUAGAGAUCUGGAGGAAUACCGGUGGCGAAGGCUGCCCCCUGGACGAAGACUGACGCUCAGGUGCGAAAGCGUGGGGAGCAAACAGAUUANNUACCCUGGUAGUCCACGCUGUAAAACGGGUGUCGAUUUUGGAGGUUGUG